rnacentral:rRNA from 1 species
CUGGCUCAGGAUGAACGCUAGCUACAGGCUUAACACAUGCAAGUCGAGGGCAGCAUAUCGAAGCUUGCUUGAUAGAUGGCGACCGGCGCACGGGUGAGUAACGCGUAUCCAACCUUCCCAUCACUCAGGGAUAGCCCGCCGAAAGGCGAAUUAAUACCUGAUGGUCUCCUUCGCGGACAUCUAACGAGGAGUAAAGAUUUAUUGGUGAUGGAUGGGGAUGCGUCUGAUUAGGUAGUAGGCGGGGUAACGGCCCACCUAGCCGACGAUCAGUAGGGGUUCUGAGAGGAAGGUCCCCCACAUUGGAACUGAGACACGGUCCAAACUCCUACGGGAGGCAGCAGUGAGGAAUAUUGGUCAAUGGACGGAAGUCUGAACCAGCCAAGUAGCGUGCAGGAUGACGGCCCUAUGGGUUGUAAACUGCUUUUGUGCGGGAAUAAAGUAUGGGACGUGUCCCAUUUUGCAUGUACCGCACGAAUAAGGACCGGCUAAUUCCGUGCCAGCCGCCGC